AAGUGCAAAGCCGCCCGCACUGCUCUUUUCUGAAGGAGAAAGCCCAGGAGAAGCUUCCGCAGUAAGCAGAGCCCAGCUGGGAAAGGCAGGGCUGGGAAGGAGGGCUCCACGACCAUGGCGGUCUAGUCAAGCAGCGGAGAAUCUUCAACACCGGAGUGGAUUUUCCAGAAAACACUCACAAUGUGAAUGGAAACAGGCAGAAUGAUAGGUCCCGUGGUGGCGAAGACAGAAAACACAUGUAUGCAACGUUGCCAGAGGGAAGAUGAAAAAACUUUGCUUGGAUCAACGUAUGAAGACUCUGUACAAGAAAUAUGAGGGUUUCUGCUACUGAGCAGAGAUGCAUGGCCCAACCCCCUCCGGUGCUAAAUAUGUUCAUUUCUAACCCAUUUCCCCAGUCCUGGGAUGGAAGUUACAGAGUUAUUGCAUGGAUGAGUGGAAGGAGGGGGGAUUUGUAGGCAAAGAUGUUUAUGGAGGAGAGGGGCCCAGUGUUGCUGGGCAGGUGUGAAUUUGUUGAGAGGAGCAGACAGAGAUGAAUUCGGGGUUGAAAACUGCAAGCCAGAGACUGAGAGGUGGCAAUUCAGAGAGCACGAAGCCUGUCCCUGACCAGGUUCAUAUCAAGCAGGGGGAGUGGGCUGGGUGGAUCGUCCACCCUCCCUGUGAAGGGGUUACACAUGAACUAAUGCGGUUAUUCCCUUCCUGGCUUUCCCGUCGGCAUUUCACAUGCAGAGUUGGAAAACGCACUAGGCCAUCCCGAGAUGGAGCGCAGGGGGUGCGAUGAAUCACUCAUCCGCUGAGCUUCCUCUUUAGUUAGCCUGCCUGACAGGGAUGGUGCCCUGGCUGCCGGUGACGAUAAAAACAGAGAUUGCCUUCGUCUCAGUAUCCUUUCUUCCUGGCCACUUUAGACGGAGUCUGAGGUCCUCAUCAUGGUGCUCACGACGUCCUGCACAGUCCGACUCUUGGACACCCCCUGCCCUUACGAUGUCUUUUGUGCCCCCCUCUUCUGCUUUCUCCCCUAGCGUCCUCACUCCCCCUAUGUUGGGUCAUUGCCCCGCAGGGCUGUGGCUCUGUCUGUUUUGAUUCCUGUCUCUGCCUGAGACCUCUUGCACAUGCUCUUCUAAUUCACACCCCUGGCAUGCUCAUAUGACUUCUAACUUGACCCCCGACUUAAAAAAUCCUGUAACUGCUCUUGUAGAGGACCGGAGUUCUUUCUCAGCGCCCAUGUUGAAUGCUCACAAGUGCCUCUAAUCCCAGCUUUAGGGGAUCUGAUGCCCUCUUCUGGCCUCCACGAGUAUCUGCACCCAAGCACACAUACCCGCAAUCAUAAAGAAAGCGUUUAGAAAAAUAAAUCCACACCGAUCAUAUUCUGGUUUACGACUUUCUGUUCCCAUACCUUUCCCGUAUCGCCUCGAUCCCUUACAGUGUAUUACAAAAUUUAGUUCAGUUUAAUAACUUUGGCGCACCGUGGUUUUCCUUUCUAUAACAAAUGUUUCACGAGGGCAAAGACCUUUGUUUCAUUUACUGAUCUUUCUUAAGCACCAGGGUAGUAUCUGAUAUGUAGUAGGAAUUUAGUAAAUAUUUAAAUAGGACAGAGAGCAGUGCAUAGAAUUCUAGGCUUAUGUAUGUGUAAAGAUGUGCAUGUAUUUACGUAGACACACAUAUGUAGGUCUGUGAGCAGUAAGUAUGUGUGUUCACACACACACACACACACACACACACACUAGCAAUUCAGAUGAUCGACCUAUCAAACAGUGUAAGUAAGUGUGGAUAUCAGGAUCAUGGGAUUUGGGCUAAAUAGAAUUUGUUUUACGAAUGUCAGUUUUAUGUUGUCUGAUCUAUGUACAGAAUAAACAAACAUUUUUGUUAUCUGUGAAACAGGCAUACAAGAUAGUAGGCCUUCUGGAAUAUUUACUUAGACUGGGUUUCAUCAGACUAGGCAGGAGAGCUGGCUUUUUUGAUACAGCUAAUCACAUUUUUGUGAGGAGUCUCCAUGAGGAGAUCAGUUCGAUGAGCUCUGUGGGGUCUCUGAGGUCUGGAAACUUGCAGGCAUGGAGCACACGCGAGUCAUCUUGGCACCAGUGGUUCUGCAUCCAGCAUGCUCUUAAAUAGGAGCCCCUGCAGGCGCCAGACCACGUCAAGUUAGCUUGCAUCCGUCUCCCUUCUAGCUAAAAGCGGAUGCUUUAGCUUAUUCAGAAUUAUUAAAACUUUUUUGUGCUAUUGUUUAUACAAUUCCUACCUAUUUUUAUUUUCUUGCUUAAAAACUCAGAUGAGGACAUUAUUUAAAACGCAGUAAUGGGUCCGUAGAGAUGGCUGAAUAGUGUCGUGUACUUACUGAUGCUGCAGAGGGCCCUGUGCCAGUUCCCAGCUCCCACACAGGGACUCCAGCUGCCUCUUACCCCAGUUCAGAGCCUGCACCACAUGGUGCGCACAAGCUCACACAGGCACACACAUAAACACAUGAGAAAUAAGUCUUUUAAAAGGAGACAGAAAUGUGCAAAAACUGAUGGAAGCUAAACACACGGAGUUUCUACCCAGCAGAUAUGGCCAUGCUUAAUACUUUGUACUUUCCUUUGUUAUUUCUGUGAAUGUGUAGAUCCAAUUUCACUUAAAGUAUUAUUUAAUAAUUUCUUUAAAGAAUCAAAGUGAUAGAAGAACUUUUAGAUUAAUGAAAAAUUCUAAAACCCAUGGUUUUAUUCAUUUCUUGUGUUUUAUUAUGUGGGUUUUUGCACAAAGCAGUCUUUGUUCUACACCACAACAUUUAGGUGUUUCUCAAAACGUCUCCUGGUAUAAACAAUGUUUCAAUGAAAAUCUGUGAAUACAUAUUUUCUGUUGCUAAAAUCCUAGAAGGGGAGUCACUGAGUCGGGUGUGUAUCACUGUGACUAUUUUUAAAAAUAGUUCAAUAAAUCUAUGCUCCUUUAGCUUAUUUCCACUAUGCCUAUUUCCUUGCU